UCCCGACAUGAUCGCGCCGGUGCCCCUUCGGGGGCUUAAAAUGGGAAGGCGGUGCGGAUGCCAUGGCAUCCAAAUCCGCAGCUGUCCCUGCAACUGUGAGCGGCGAGCGUGAUGAACAAAGCUGUCCCCGAUGCGGGAUCGGCAGCCACUGGGCCGGACGCUAAAUCCUGCGAGGCCUGGGAAGGCCGUUCCUCCCGCUAUGACCCGCAAGCCAGGAGACCUGCCGGCGUUUAGGUCGCUCU
rnacentral:ncRNA from 2 species